rnacentral:tRNA from 1 species
AAAGAAUUAGUUUAAUAAUAUAUAAAAACUUUAAUUUGUCAAGUUAACAAUACUAUCAAUUUAGUGUUCUUUU